rnacentral:lncRNA from 1 species
UUUUCUCAUUUCUAGUUCUCAAGAACAGCUGUAGAAUGUUCUGGGAAUGCAACAUUCUGAGAUAAGGAGGGCUGGCUGGAACAGCCUGAGCUCUGUUCUGGGACCCCGCUUUACUGAAAUAAGAUAACCUUCAAUGUUUUAGCCCAGCAAAUCUCAUUGCCCCACAGCAUAAAACCAAGGUUGAGAGGCUUUCUGGGGUCCCUCAGCUGAUACAAGUGGGGUAUGCAUGGAGGACACUCCAUCUAUCCUGGGCAAAUUUCUUGAGCCUUGCAGACUGGCUUACAAUGUGUCACGGGCUUCUGUUGUCUUGCUGCCUAUCUGUAAGUAGUAAAAAGUCUCUUCAUGCAGCUUGUUGUAUGCACAGGUGUUUUCUCUCACUGGACUCAGACAAGUUGGUGACCCGCACACAAUAAACCUGCUCCACAACAAGAGGAGAAGGAAUUCCAGAGCUCAAAAUGGAGAAAGGAACAGAGUAAGAACAAUGGCUUCAGGAGGAAAAUGCAAUGAUAGAAGCUUUGAAAGAAAGACAACUAGAAUUCAGGUCAUAGUAGAUGAUGAUACCUGCCUGUCUGACCUUUGAGGAAGGGGAAUUUCUGAAACCUAAGGCUUCCUUGUAUUGCUCAAUUCAGUGAGAAAGAAAUCACUAAUGAUAUAACAGAAAUUCUUAAUGAGCCUUUUCUCACGCACAAGAAAGAAAGCUUCCCUGACGUUCUAAUGUUAAGCUGAGAUUUUGAAGCUCCCAUCCAUCCCUGAAAUUAGAAAACCCCAAAUCUUUCAUCCAGGGUUUUGCUCUGUCGCCCCCGCUGGAGCGCAGUGGCACAAACAGAGUACAUUGCUGUCUAUCUUCUGGACUCAAGUGAUCUUCCCUCCUCAGCCUUCUGAGUAGCUGGGACUACAGAUGCAGAUAGAAAUAUUAGUUUUAUGAGAAACUAUUUCUUAAAGGAUGAAACAUUCCACAAAAUAUAUUUUAUCACAGACUAUGGGUGGAUUCCACUGGGAGAAAAGAGGAUCUAAAUGCCAGGCUCACCCCUCACAUUCUAUUCAACUGCACAGGAUAGAAUGAUACAUCCCUCUCUCACAAGAGCUCCCUGGAAACUGCAGAGGAAUCACCAUCUUCAGCAAGCUUUAUCAAGAAUGCAUUCAUGAGAUUCCCACUUUAAACAUCCAGCCAAGCACUUUUAUGUCUGUCACAGAGGCUUUAAAGGAGAGGCUGGAGAGUUCUCAUUUUCAGCACCAUCUCAGCUGUCGGUAUUUCCCAAACCUGCACUGAUGUCUGAGAAUCCACAUCAAAACUUUUGCAUUUGUCCUCAAAGAAUGUCACAACUAUUAUUCUGAAAUGCUCAUUGCAUCUAUUUCUAGGGAUGGUAAUGAUGACUCUGUACGGACUAAGAUAGGAUUAAUAACAAUGCAGAGUUGAACUCAA